AACUUUACAAUGCUGGCAACAGCGAUAAGGGGACCUCGAGUGCCAGGAUACAAUCUUGGCUGUCGUAAUGCCUAAAAAGCAUUGCAUAGCAAGGGCCGGGCAAGACCGGUGCCAGCCGCCGCGGUAACACCGGCGGCUCGAGUGGUAACCGCUAUUAUUGGGUCUAAAGGGUCUGUAGCCGGCCGGAUAAGUCUUUUGGGAAAUCCAGCUGCUCAACAGUUGGGCUUUCAGAAGAUACUGUUCGGCUCGAGGCCGGGAGAGGUGAGAGGUACUUCAGGGGUAGGGGUGAAAUCUUGUAAUCCUUGAAGGACCACCAGUGGCGAAGGCGUCUCACCAGAACGGUCCUGACGGCAAGGGACGAAAGCUAGGGGCACGAACCGGAUUAGAUACCCGGGUAGUCCUAGCCGUAAACGAUACUCGCUAGGUGUCAGCCACGGUGCGACCGUGGUUGGUGCCGUAGGGAAGCCGUGAAGCGAGCCACCUGGGAAGUACGGCCGCAAGGCUGAAACUUAA
rnacentral:rRNA from 1 species